CUACGUGCCAGCAGCCGCGGUAAUACGUAGGUCCCGAGCGUUGUCCGGAUUUAUUGGGCGUAAAGCGAGCGCAGGCGGUUAGAUAAGUCUGAAGUUAAAGGCUGUGGCUUAACCAUAGUACGCUUUGGAAACUGUUUAACUUGAGUGCAAGAGGGGAGAGUGGAAUUCCAUGUGUAGCGGUGAAAUGCGUAGAUAUAUGGAGGAACACCGGUGGCGAAAGCGGCUCUCUGGCUUGUAACUGACGCUGAGGCUCGAAAGCGUGGGGAGCAAGCAGGAUUAGAUACCCUGGUAGUCCACGCCGUAAACGAUGAGUGCUAGGUGUUAGACCCUUUCCGGGGUUUAGUGCCGUAGCUAACGCAUUAAGCACUCCGCCUGGGGAGUACGACCGCAAGGUUGAAACUCAAAGGAAUUGACGGGGGCCCGCACAAGCGGUGGAGCAUGUGGUUUAAUUCGAAGCAACGCGAAGAACCUUACCAGGUCUUGAC
rnacentral:rRNA from 1 species